AUGGGCGCCGCUACCGCGGGCCAGCAGGCGGGAGGGACCCCGGACAAGCUCCGGCACGUCGAGUCCAUGUCCGAGCGGCCCUCCGGCGCCGGGUCCAUCUCCGGGAUCAGCGCCGUCGUCCUGGGCGAGUCGCUCGCCGACGAGGAGCACGAACUCGUCUUCCCCAGCGCCGAGUUCUCCGCCACCGCACUCGUCUCCUCCCCCCAGCAGUACAAGGAGAUGUACGAGAGGUCCAUCAAGGACCCGGCCGGGUUCUGGUCAGAGAUCGCCGACGCCUUCUACUGGAAGGAGAAGUGGAACCCCAGCGAGGUCUGCUCCGAAAACCUCGACGUCAGCAAGGGCCCCGUCCACAUCAGUUGGUUCAAAGGGGGCAAAACCAACAUAUGCUACAAUGCCGUCGACCGCAACGUCGAGGCUGGGAAUGGGGACAAGAUUGCACUGUACUGGGAGGGCAAUGAGCCCGGCCAGGAUGGGAAGCUCACCUAUUCUGAGCUCGUGGAGAAGGUUUGCCAGCUUGCAAAUUACUUGAAAAGUGUUGGUGUCGGCAAGGGGGAUGCUGUGAUCAUCUACUUACCGAUGCUGCUGGAGCUUCCCAUUGCCAUGCUUGCAUGUGCGCGUAUCGGUGCUGUCCAUUCGGUUGUGUUUGCUGGCUUCUCUGCGGAUUCGCUGGCCCAAAGGAUCGUUGAUUGCAAGCCUAAGCUUGUGCUCACUUGUAAUGCCGUGAAAAGGGGGCCCAAGCCCAUUCUUCUCAAAGACAUAGUGGAUGCUGCUCUGGUGGAAAGUGAGAAGAAUGGAUUCUCUGUAGGUAUUUGUUUGACAUACGAAAACCAGUCAGUAAUGAAGAGGCAAGACACAAAAUGGCAAGCAGGAAGGGAUGUUUGGUGGCAGGAUGUUGUGACCAACUUUCCUACCAAGUGUGAUGUGGAAUGGGUGGAUGCGGAGGAUCCAUUGUUUCUUUUGUACACGAGUGGCAGCACUGGAAAACCAAAGGGUGUUAUGCAUACUUCUGGGGGCUAUAUGGUGUAUACUGCAACAACAUUUAAGUAUGCAUUUGAUUACAAGCCAACAGACAUAUACUGGUGCACUGCAGACUGUGGUUGGAUUACUGGACAUAGCUAUGUGACAUAUGGCCCACUCCUGAAUGGAGCUGCAGUUCUUGUUUUUGAAGGGACUCCGAACUACCCUAAUGCUGGUCGGUGCUGGGACAUUGUGGACAAGUACAAGGUGUCAAUAUUUUAUACCGCACCAACACUCGUCCGUUCACUCAUGCGCGAUGGUGAUGAGUAUGUUACACGCUACUCUCGAAAAUCUCUCCGAGUCCUGGGAAGCGUUGGUGAGCCAAUUAAUCCUAGUGCAUGGAGAUGGUUCUACAAUGUUGUUGGGGAUUCAAAGUGCCCCAUAUCAGAUACUUGGUGGCAGACUGAAACUGGUGGCUUCAUGAUGACUCCUUUACCUGGUGCCUGGCCUCAGAAACCGGGUUCUGCAACAUUUCCUUUCUUUGGUGUGCAGCCGGUCAUUGUUGAUGAGAAAGGACAGGAGAUUGAAGGAGAAUGUAGCGGAUAUCUUUGCAUUAAAAAAUCAUGGCCUGGGGCUUUCCGGACCCUCUAUGGAGAUCAUGACAGAUAUGAGACCACAUACUUCAAGCCAUUUGCUGGCUACUAUUUUACUGGUGAUGGUUGCAGCAGGGACAAAGAUGGUUACCACUGGCUUACUGGAAGAGUAGAUGAUGUUAUCAACGUUAGUGGGCAUCGAAUUGGCACAGCAGAGGUUGAGUCUGCUUUGGUUUCGCAUCCACAGUGUGCAGAGGCCGCUGUUGUUGGUGUUGAGCAUGAGGUCAAAGGUCAGGGAAUAUAUGCUUUUGUAACUUUGGUGGAUGGCGUUCCUUACAGUGAAGAACUACGAAAGAGCCUCAUAGCAAAAGUCCGCACUCAGAUCGGGGCGUUUGCAGCUCCAGACAGGAUCCACUGGGCGCCGGGGCUCCCCAAGACCCGCAGCGGCAAGAUCAUGCGCAGGAUCCUGCGCAAAAUUGCCGCGAAGCAGCUGGACGAGCUCGGCGACAUAAGCACUCUCGCUGACCCCGGCGUCGUCGACCAGCUGAUCGCGCUCAAAGAUUGCUAG
rnacentral:rRNA from 1 species